rnacentral:rRNA from 1 species
AGCUCCAAUAGCGUAUAUUAAAGUUGUUGCGGUUAAAAAGCUCGUAGUUGGAUUUCUGCUGAGGACGACCGGUCCGCCCUCUGGGUGAGCAUCUGGCUCGGCUUGGGCAUUUUUCUUGGAGAACGUAGCUGCACUUGACUGUGUGGUGCGGUAUUCAAGACCUUUACUUUGAGGAAAUUAGAGUGUUUCAAGCAGGCGCACGCCUUGAAUACGUUAGCAUGGAAUAAUAAGAUAGGACCUCUGUUCUAUUUUGUUGGUUUCUAGAGCUGAGGUAAUGAUCAAUAGGGAUAGUUGGGGGCAUUCGUAUUUAACUGUCAGAGGUGAAAUUCUUGGAUUUGUUAAAGACGGGCUACUGCGAAAGCAUUUGCCAAGGAUGUUUUCA